rnacentral:rRNA from 1 species
AUUGAACGCUGGCGGCAUGCCUUACACAUGCAAGUCGAACGGCAGCGCGUCCUUCGGGAUGGCGGCGAGUGGCGAACGGGUGAGUAAAGCAUCGGAACGUGCCCGGUAGUGCGGGAUAGCUCGGCGAAAGCCGGAUUAAUACCGCAUGAGAUCCGAGGAUGAAAGCAGAGGACCCGCAAGGGCCUUGCGCUACUGGAGCGGCCGAUGUCAGAUUAGGUAGUUGGUGAGGUAAAGGCUCACCAAGCCUGCGAUCUGUAGCUGGUCUGAGAGGAUGAUCAGCCACAUCGGGACUGAGACACGGCCCGAACUCCUACGGGAGGCAGCAGUGGGGAAUUUUGGACAAUGGGCGCAAGCCUGAUCCAGCCAUGCCGCGUGCAGGAUGAAGGCCUUCGGGUUGUAAACUGCUUUUGUACGGAACGAAAAGCCUCUCUUUAAUAAAGUGGGGUGAUGACGGUACGUAAGAAUAAGCACCGGCUAACUACGU